GACGAACGCUGGCGGCGUGCCUAAUUUACGCAAGUUUAGCGCUGACGGUUUGUACUUGUACCGACUGGAUGAGCAGCGAACGGGUGAUUAAUGCGUGGGUCAUCGGCGUUAGAGCGGGGGACAACAUUUGGAAAUGAAUGCUAAUACCGCAUCAACACUUUAAACACAAGUUUUAUGUUUGAUAGUUGCAAUUUCAUCAUUCAACGCUGAUCCCGCGUUGUAUUAGCUAGUUGGUGCGGUAAAGUCUCACCAAGGCGAUGAUACAUAGCCGACCUGAGAGGGUGAUCGGCCACAUUGGGCCUGAGACACGGCCCAAACUCCUACGGGAGGCAGCAGUAGGGAAUCUUCGGCAAUGGACGAAAGUCUGACCGAGCAACGCCGCGUGAGUGAAGAAGGUUUUCGGAUCGUAAAACUCUGUUGGUAGAGAAGAACGUUGGUGAGAGUGGAAAGCUCAUCAAGUGACGGUAACUACCCAGAAAGGGACGGCUAACUACGUG
rnacentral:rRNA from 1 species